UCCGAUUUGUCACCGGCAGUCUCCCUAGAGUCCCCGGCAUGACCCGCUGGCAACAUGGGACAGGGGUUGCGCUCGUUGCGCCACUUAAGGCAACACCUCACGACACGAGCUGACGACAGCCAUGCAGCACCUGUGCUAGCCCCUUACGGACACGGGCUUUCACCCGCUUUAACUAGCAUGUCAAGCCCAGGUAAGGUUCUUCGCGUUGCGUCGAAUUAAACCACAUGCUCCGCUGCUUGUGCGGGCCCCCGUCAAUUCCUUUGAGUUUUAGCCUUGCGGCCGUACUCCCCAGGCGGGGCGCUUAAUGCGUUAGCUGCGGCACGGAACUCGUGGAAUGAGUCCCACACCUAGCGCCCAACGUUUACGGUGUGGACUAC
rnacentral:misc_RNA from 1 species